rnacentral:rRNA from 1 species
CUAGAGAGCAACAGAGGGUGGGCGUAAAGAGGGGCGUAAAUGUGCGCGGGCAGGUUCUCUUCCUCCUUGCCUUCACCUGAACGGUAGGUAGGAGGAGGCAGCUGUGCGGUGUGUUGGUUUGGUUUGGUCUGGCUUUCGUCUCGCUCCUCCGGGCCGGUUUUCCUCGCCCCGCGGAGGGAGUAUUCGCCUCCCCGCCCCGCGAUCGACCGGCCGAGAGUGCAACGCCUUAAGCCUCCCGGGGGUGGUCCUUAUCGGUCGGUCGGCAAGGGCCUCCCGCCUCCCGCCUCCGCCUCCUCCCCUACCCCUUGCACUGCAGCAGCCACCGCCGCGCCGACCGGAAGAAGGGCGGCCUCGGCCGCUGCAUGCUCCACCGCCGCCUCCUCCCGCCCGACGCCUACUGCCCCCACGACGGGCUGCGGUUGCAGCUGCACGUGCGCGACGGGUGGUCCCGGCCCUGCGCGCAGCAGCGGCGGAAGACCGCGAUGGGGUGGCGCGCGGAGUGCGACGAGAUGAGGGUGCCGUUGCGGCGGCUGGAGCCGGUCUACGAGCCGGAGAAGUACCUCGAGGCGAGGGUGGAGGCGCAGUUGUAGUACACGAUACUGAUAAGUCCUAUACCCCGGAGAUGUCCUUUUGGUAGCCUCAUAUUGUGCAUGAUGCUGUAUCUCCGACAGAUGCUGACAAACUUUUUCCUCAUACCCUAUCCCGUUCUCCUAGACUAGGACAUACCCGUUAGUCAACCUUCGCCUGGCUGCAACGUGAACCGGAGUGCAAACCUCUUUGAUUCUCCCCAGCAGGAAGUGUCGCCAUAAGACAGUCCGUAUGCGCAAAACAUAGGUCACUUUCACUGUGAAACCAAACUAUAGAAGUUCUUGUAGCUGUUUUAUUUCGUCCAGCUUACAGGUCACGACCAAUAUGUACCGUGCCGCCUGCUGUAGCAACUGAAGAGCGUGCCGUUCGCGGAUACCCUCGAUCGCUUCCUCUUCAUGCUCGGCGACACCCAGUUUCCACCACCGGUGACGUUGGACCUCUGCAUGGGGCUCAUGUAGGCCGUGGACGCCUUCAAGCACUUGCGCUACCUCUUCGACCGCUUCCUCGCUCGCUGUUUCCGCGGCGUCCAUGGCGGCAGCUCGUACCCGCUUCACUUUGUGUUGUUCACGAACUCUAAACCCUUCACUAGCUACUAGGAACUGGUACAGUAGAGAGCGAUUGACACAGCAACGAGCGCAUAUCUGUGACUACUAGACUACCUCCUUGCCUUCUUCGGUCAGCGCCGCCACCAGAGGGGCAGCCCGAGGCUACUGUACUGUGGCACCCCCACCCCCCUUCACGUUGCCGCAGCAGCGAAUAGCGGCCAGGCCAGCCCCAAGCCCUAAUCUGUCCGAGGUACCGACCUUACACGACCUCUACUGACUUCUCUUUGUCUUCGGAUCACCUCCUUCGUACGCCCUUUAGUAUAUAUCGGACAACAACAACCCAUCACAAGUCAACCCCGAGAGAGGAAAAAGAAAAAAAUAAGUCGGACACAUAAUCAACUACACGUUUCUUCACAGGUAGUGAGGAUUAACUAACGUUCACGUAACACACGACAGUCCGUCACCGUAAAUCCACAGACGAAGUAUCAAAGUCAAAGUAAGACGAAGAACAGACCCAACGACACGAGUCAAGUAUCGUCUCGGUUUGUCCUCCUCCGUCCCCGAAUUUGAAUUGGAAUUGGACGGAAGUGCUGGUUAAGAAAUAAAAAAAGAUCUUAUUGUCGUGCUGGUUAAGAACCAGAUCCUGUUACACUGUACCGUAUUAAUUGGUACAGUGUACUCUUCGAACCAGUCAUUUUG